rfam:Theobroma cacao cultivar Matina 1-6 chromosome 9, whole genome shotgun sequence.
AAGAAAAGAGGCUGUUAGAUUAGCCAAGGAGACUGCCUGGGAACUAACAAAGACAGGUUCAAAGUCAGUUUCCUUGCCUCUGGAAAACCUCUUGGGAAUGGAAGUUGUCGGCAAGUCAUCCGUGGCUACCAAACAACACUCUUGUCU